rnacentral:lncRNA from 1 species
CAAAGGAAAGAAAGCUGCUCCAAAAGCCGAACCAGUGAAACACAAGGGCAUGGCUGAGGAGGACGAGGAUGAGGAAGAGGAGGAUGAAGAUGAUGAGGAUGAGGACGAGGAGGAUGAAGAGGAUGAUGAAGAGGAUGACGAAGAGGAGGAGGAGGAGGAAGAAGAGCCUGUCAAAGAAGCACCCGGAAAACGAAAGAAGGAAAUGGCCAAACAGAAGGCAGCCCCUGAAGCAAAGAAACAAAAAGUAGAAGGCACAGAACCAACUACAUCUUUUAAUCUCUUCGUUGGAAACCUGAAUUCUAACAAAUCUGCCCUUGAACUAAAAAUUGGUAUCAGUGAACUUUUUGCGAAAAAUGAUCUGGCUGCUGUGGAUGUCAGAAUUGGAACAACUAGGUAAAUGCCACACUGUUACAUGCGAAUCUGCAAGUGCUUUUUCCCAGUUACCCUAGCCUGGCAUCCAAAAAUAUCUUACAGAUUAUACAUUAAUGAACUGAACCAUUAGAUUAUCAAAUUACAGAAUCCCCAGUUUUGAA